rnacentral:rRNA from 1 species
UACGUAGGGUGCAAGCGUUGUCCGGAAUUAUUGGGCGUAAAGAGCUCGUAGGCGGUCUGUCGCGUCGGCUGUGAAAACUCGGGGCUCAACCCCGAGCCUGCAGUCGAUACGAGCAGACUAGAGUGCUGUAGGGGAGACUGGAAUUCCUGGUGUAGCGGUGAAAUGCGCAGAUAUCAGGAGGAACACCGGUGGCGAAGGCGGGUCUCUGGGCAGUAACUGACGCUG